rnacentral:rRNA from 1 species
AUUGAACGCUAGCGGGAUGCCUUACACAUGCAAGUCGAACGGCAGCGCGGACUUCGGUCUGGUGGCGAGUGGCGAACGGGUGAGUAAUACAUCGGAACGUGCCCAGUCGUGGGGGAUAACGUAGCGAAAGCUACGCUAAUACCGCAUACGAUCUAAGGAUGAAAGCGGGGGACCGUAAGGCCUCGCGCGAUUGGAGCGGCCGAUGGCAGAUUAGGUAGUUGGUGGGGUAAAGGCUCACCAAGCCGACGAUCUGUAGCUGGUCUGAGAGGACGACCAGCCACACUGGGACUGGGACACGGCCCAGACUCCUACGGGAGGCAGCAGUGGGGAAUUUUGGACAAUGGGCGCAAGCCUGAUCCAGCCAUUCCGCGUGCAGGAUGAAGGCCCUCGGGUUGUAAACUGCUUUUGUACGGAACGAAAAGGCUCUGGUUAAUACCUGGGGCUCAUGACGGUACCGUAAGAAUAAGCACCGGCUAACUACGUGCCAGCCGCCGCUGUAA